rnacentral:lncRNA from 13 species
UUAAAAAGAUCCGUUUUGACCACAUCCUCUGACCCUCACAUCUGGAAACUGGAAGAGAAGCAGGCCCCUUUUUAACUGUUAGGUUUCCCUGAUCAGAAAUGACUCAUCUCGUUCUUUCUGGAGACUUGGAAGUUAGAAUUUAUGAAAGGAUGAAUGCAGCACUGCAGACUUUGGAGGCUCCUCAAGAGGGAAUGUCAUGGUCCCCAGAGAGUUACUCUAUUGGUGACAGGGCCAUGUGGUUCCUCUCUCUUCAGUGAGGGAAGCCUUGGGAACCCCUCCCCUCUCUCCCUUCCUCCUUCCCUCCCUCCCUCCCUUCCUCCUCCCCUUCCCUUCCCCUUCCCCUCCCCUCCCUCCCACCUAGGCUAGGUUAUUUCUAGGCUCUCAUAAACGGAGGUAUGAGUCCCAGUCUGUUACUUCCUAGCCGAGGUCUUGGUUAGGGAUGAUUUACUCCCCUGGCCUCAUUUCCUUUAUCUGUAAAAUGUGAAUGACAAGUGUCCCGGCCUGAUAGGGUGCUUGCCAGGAGGGCACUAACACAGGCCUAGAAAUUGCUCAUUCCACCUCUCAGCAGCCCUGUGGGAUGGAAUGAGGCUCAGCCUGUAAUGCUGGGGAAGAACCGUGGGGGCCUCCAUCUGUCUCCACAGCCCCAGGUCUUCACCGCCCUCCUGAAGCCAGCAUGUGGUCUCUUCGUCACAGACAAACACAACCUCCCGAAUAUCCCCCAGCUGUCUGGUCUCACUCAGGGCUGUGGCACCUGCCUGGCUCACAUGUUGUUCUGAUGUCCCCAAAUGUCUGGCAGGACACCCUUCUCUUCUCCUUGCUGCCCCUUCUGUUCAGGGUAGACGCACCAGGCAUCCACGUGCCAUUCCUUCUUCAGAUGUCUACUGCGUGCCCCCAAUGUUUGAGACGGUGUGCUGGGGCUGUGACAGGGGGCAUUCGGGAUAGACUGAUGAAAUCUCACUAAGCCUCAGUUGGCGUCUCUGAAAACAGGUGCAAUCACAACUGAUGAAUGGGAGGACAGCAGAGCUCAUGCUGGCAUAGCACAUGGCC